CGGAUGGAUCGGUCCUCAACCCGAUCCAUCCAGAUACUUCGAGCGCUCGCAUUUUCUGCUUCUCUCUCUCGCGUCUCUCUCUCUCUCUCUCUUGCCGCCGCUGCGCGGUUCCAGCCGCCUCUGCGUCGCCGCUGCUCUCUGCUGCGCCGCCAGCCGCGCCUUGCCGAGAGCCGCGAGCCUGCGCCGCUUGCACCGCUGCGCUGCAGCGCGCGCCGUCGCCGUCGCACCGCCGCGCGCCUGUGUGCCGCACCGCGUGCUGCCGCGCUGCCGUCCGCCUGCACGCCGUCGUGUGCCUGCGCACUACUGCUGUGUGCUCCAUGCGCCUCUGUGCUAGCAGCUGAGUGAAACAAGCAAGCAAGUAACAGCCGGCCGAAGCAAGGAAGCCAGGAAGAAGAAAGGAAGAAAGAGAAAAGAAAAGAAAAGAAAAGAAAAAGAAAAAAAGAGAAAAGGAAAAAAGGGGAAGAAGAAAAAAAGAAGAAGGAAAAGUUGGAAAUUUCAGAAUUUCGUCGGAUUCGUCGUCAAUCUUUUCGAAGGAGAUUUCUCGGUGGUACUAUUUCCGGACGUUCUUGAUCGAAUUUUCUUCAUCGUCGGUAAAAGCAAGUGAAUGUAUUGUAUGUUUAGAUGUUGACGUGCAUUUUGGGGAUGGAUCUCGGUAGCUGCACACACUAACUUAUCACGAUGUCGAUAGCUCAACCGGUGUAUACAAGUGGUGUGUCUGAUGGUCCGUCAUUUGUUUUUGUUUAUGUUGUGGUACGACGCUGGUAGCGUCGUGGCGGACUCUAUAUAUAUGCUGGUUAUAUCUGUUUCUGCCUGCCUGUGAUA